CAAUUUAUGUUUUGUAUGGAAGUCAUUGUUAUUGAUUAAUGGUUUUAGGGUGAAAGGCUUAACUGAUAAUUUCUGAAUAAAUCGUUAGUGGUUUGUUUAUGUACAUAUGUUCGGGGUUAAAUUUAUUAAAUAAAGCAUUGUCAUCAUCUGACUCACUAUAGAAACCACAAUUUCGGUUAUCAUACCAAAUCUAUCACGCUUUCAAUAUUUGCUUCAUCACUGUCCUACUUACUUUUUUGUAUUUUUAUUCGACAUCCCUUUCUAGAUUUUAUGUACAUAUACUGAUAUAUACUUAUAUGAAUUAUAAUACGUAUAAAAAUAUCUUUUAUGUGCAUAUUUUCCCCAAAAUAUCUUUUAUGUACCAUAUUAUCUUGUUUUGUUGUUGUAAGUUGUCAUAUUUGUUAUUGACAUGUGACGAUCAAAAUCUUGAAAUGGACUUCCAUGUGGGCACAAACGCUUUAGAGCAAAAGGAUAAUGUUUAACUAUCUUAUGGCUGAACUUUUUUGUGUGUUUUUUUUGCUAACUAACUUUGUUGGUGUAUGAAAAAAUAUUAUAUUCCCGAACUUGAUUUAGUAUCUUAUACAUAUCCUCAGAACCAAAUCACAAAAGUUUAUUGUUGUCCAAUAAGUCGAUAACUACAAUAAAUUAGAAAGAGAGAAACCGACGAUAUAUAUAUCAGGAUAUAUCAGCCUGAAAAUAUUAUAUUUCUAAACUUCGUUUGUUAUUUAAUAUUUUUAUAACUCCAAAGAAUUCAUUCAUUUUUAAGAAACAAGCCACAUCAGCUUAAACCAAAUGGUCUUGGUCUAGUGGUAAAUGACUCACAGCUGUGAGUACUGCUCUGAGUUCGAUUCUCUUUGGCCAACAAGAGCGUCUUAAGUGAUAAAAAAACGUGGAUCUUACGGAUCUCGUAGUGAUUAAUCCUUAUGUCUAGAAAGCCUUUAGAAUCACAUUACAGUUAUAAAAAAAAAAGCAACAUCAGCUCGUACAAUUUCGGAGAUGGGUGUAACAGACAUUAAUGAAUGGUUAAGACCACAGUGUUUUAGUGGAUCAAAUCAACCUCAGCCGAUGCUAUAUGGGGAAUUCCAGAUAACAUAGGAGUCUUGAUUCCGGAAAUUUUAAGUACAAUUAUGAUGGCUUUCGCAUCAACCGCAAAGAUACGUUCGGAUAAGGAAACUCUUAUCUAAUUUUAUGUGAAAUUGUUACAUCCUUAGGGCAUCUCCAUCCCCACUCCAUUUUUUUCUCUAAAAUGGAACAAAAGUGAAUAUGGAGUAAGGAAUGCUCCAACCCAACUCCAUAUCUCACUUCAUAAUGAAAUUUACUCCAUAAAUGGAAUAAUCUAUUUUUUGUUUGUUCAUCACUCCAUUAUAAAGUGAGAAAUAGAGUAGGGUUGGAGCAAUUUUACUCCAUUUUCACUUUUACUCCAUUUUAGAGGAAAAAAUGGAGUUUUACAUUGGAGAUGCUCUUAGAUCACUUUAUCACAUAGUGCAUCUAUUUUAUUUUAUUACUUGCUUAUGGGAGGGUCCAGACUAUGUAAGUGACUUAUUACACAGUUUUUAAUGACACAAACACACCUUAAUAUGUAAUGAAACAUUAUUACAAUACCACACGAAAUAAAGUUUUUCUUUGGUUUUAAAAAUGCAACUGUUAGGGCCAAAAAGUAUCAAUAUAGGUUUUUUUACUAAAAUAUAAGACACACAAAAAUAUAUUUAACAGUUUAGAAUUUAAAUUUUGGAUUUGCAUUUAUAAGGUCUACUUUUAGGAUUAAUUUUUUACUACUGAUUAUUCUUGAAAGAGUAAAUAAAUAUUAUUUUAGAAAAUCAUGAUAUUUUUGAAACAAAAAUUUUAAACUAGUGGUUUUUGCUCAUAUAUAAUGUCUCUGAACCAAUAAACAUAGAUCAUAGAUGUUGUUUGUAUGUAUUAGUGAAACUUGAAAUUGUUAAAUUGUAAACGUACGCUCUACAUAGUUCAUGUUGAUUGUUUGACAUGGUUUCAUAUGUUGUAAAUUCGAUAGCAUCAUCAAAUUAGUUGAGACAGUCAUAGAUCAGAUUUAGAUUAACAGUUGGCAUGUACCUUGCUUUAAAAGAAAUCACGGUAAGGGGUUUGAUAUCUUGAUUUUCCUUAUUUCUCAAUGUUUUGUUACCCAUCAACACUUUUCCUCCUUUGAAUCCUUUCAAAUCAACCAACACAAUUUUGUUGGGAGAGUUUAUGGAAACUACAACAUGAGUCCAAAAAUGAUUCAUCCUUAGGAUCAUGGAUACUUACGAUAAGAAUUAUCAGCUCCUUGAUUUAUGUGACUAUAUUCAUAGAAUACUUUGGUUUGCUUUUGUUUUUAUGCGGACAAUUCAUUUUCUGAUGUCCCUCCUUACCACAUCAGAGUCAACAUUUUCCCUUGAACAUGUUGGAAGACUUUCCCCAGCAUCAUCAAAUUAGUUGAGACAGUCAUAGAAUACAUACAUGAACAAAAACGAACUGAAACUGCUUGGACUUUUUACAUUUUUUUUAUCUUUUCACAUUAUUUUGUAUGCGAAAACAUAUUCAAAGACGUGAUUACACCGUUACUAAUAAAAUAACAAUAUGUUAGCGGCCUUUUAAACUCGUUGCAACAGAUUAGAGAAUUUCUAUAAAAUUAUCUAUUAAAUGAUAAAUCUAUGAUUGUCAUGGAAGCUUCUUUCCGUACUAUUAUGAUAUGUAUGUGUCUACAUGUAACAUGUCUAUUCUUCUCGUUUGAAAUGAAAUAUAAUCACAUCACUGGUAUGUACCUAUUGAAAUGAAGCCAUAAUUGAGUACGUUUUCAAAGUUUAAUUGUUAUAUAAAUGGAGAUUCUGUAAGCAAGUUUCUGGAUGAUAUAUUUAUAUAUGCACGAAAUAUGUAUGAUAAUAUAUAUUAUUUAAAAUAUGAUAGAAAGUGCGACAAAUGUGUAUGCAUGGUUACGGACCUUACGUACGGUUGGUGGUGCGGUGUGGACAGGAUAUGCCGCCGAAACUAUCAUAAAUAAUUUUGAUAAUCAACCAAUCUCUAUACUUACUUACACAUAUAAAAUAACUUGAUUUCAUAUAUAAAUUUUCAUGAAAUUCGCUUCUCUUCUGCUCCUAGAAAAACAUAAAUCUUGUAAAUUUUGGUUAAGUGGGAAAACAAACCAAGACCUAAAAUUUGUAAAUUGAAAAAUCUCUUAGCACAGUUUAAAUACAAACAGUAAAAUUUGGAAGUAAAUUCGAAAUCGUAGAAAAAAAUUAGUUAAUAAUUUUUAAUUAAAUAAUACGUUAAUUUGGUGGAUACUAGUUGCCAAGUUAAAACUUUAUGUACCAAAGGUAGACAUUUAAUAAAAAUAAUUUAUAAAUUACCAAAAUAUAUAAAUAAUUUCUGCAAUUAUUAAUAAUUUGAAUUUUAAGAUAUUUUCAUUUGUUAUAUUUUAAAAUAUUUUUUGCACAUCGGCCAUUCUUCUGAUGUUAAUGUGGUGGACGUAGAUUUGAUCAGCGCAAAAUCAGUUCCAACAGAAUUAUAUUUUAGUUGUAUCUACAUAUAACUAUAGUUUUUAAUUAUGAUUUAUUAGGCUAUAUAUAAUUUCUAAAAUAAUAUUUUAUUGUAUAUCAAAUUUGUUAGUUUUACAUUGAUUAAAUUUUAAACUAAUUUAAUAUAAUCAAUAAAAUAUUUCAUUAUUCAACCAAAAUAAUUAGUUCACUAUUUCAUGGUUGGGGGUUUGGCUUGGACCAAUCAUUUUCUUUAUCGGAUUAAGUAAAUCAUCGUCGUCUUAUUUAAACUCACUAUCACUGGGACCAUCCAGUUUUGUCCUUUUCCUCGUCAUAAUUCUAAUGUGUACAACUAACAAUUCAGAAGUGGGUAAAAACCGAAUACAUGGUAUUUUCGGUAUAUUUGGUAUUCGGUUUAACUUGGACGAAUAAUAAAAUUUUGGAUUUAUAAUUGAUUUGUCAGAAGUAAGUAUUUAUAGUUUCAAAUACUUGAUAAAAAUGACGGAAUUGCAAGUUACUUGUCUCAUUUUGUUAUUUGUUAUUCGUGAAUACUUAAAAUUACUCGAUAAUUAUUAAUAAGUUAUUUAAUAAUUUGUUGAAAUUCAAAUCUAAAUAAAAUUUCUUUAUAAACAAUAUUUUAUUGUUUUCUUAUGUUUAAGUCAAUAGAGAAAUAAAAUAUAUAAGAAAGAGAACAUGCUUAUAUAAAUGUAUAUCUUAUGUUUAAUUCAUCCGUGAAAAUAGAAAUAUAAAUGAGUUUAUUAUACUUUGAUGGAGAGAGAAAAAAAUAUAUCUGUUCAUUAAUAAAAGCGAGUAACAAACCAAACAAAACCAAAUAGUUGUUAGUAUUUUAAUACUUUGAUACUUGCUUAAUAUUUAUAAGUAAUUUAAAUAGAUUAUUUGAUACUCUAUUUUGUCAAACCAAAUACCUGGACUUUACGGAUUAAGUAUUAGACCAAAUAACGAAUACAACCAAUUUUUGCCCAUUCCUAACUAACAUUGAUUAUAUAUAUAUACUGAUUUCAUGUCUAAACAUUAUUAGAACAUCUUCAGCUCUAUUAAUUUUAUUUUGUAUUCUAAAAUAAAUUUUAAAAUAAAAUGUUUUGCAAUUUUGUUCUACCUUUUACUCCACACCUGAAUAAAAAUAAAAUUAUUUUAUUUUUAUAAUAAUAACAAAAUUGUUAUUAUCAUAUUUUGCACUUCAAAAUAGAAUAGAAUUACACUAAAAUUUAACUUUAAAAUGAGAUUACACUUUUGAAAAGGAAUAAAAUAAUACAUUACAAAUGCUUUUUGUUAAUGGAUCAAGCAACUUUCAUAAAAAUACGACCACUUUUGAAAAGAUAAAACCAUCUUUGCGUUGUUGCAGGGGAAAACGUCACAUGUAUCUUCUCUGUUGACAAAAGAAAUGUAACCUCCUCUUCCCAAUAUUCAGGACAUUAUGUAAUUAAGAUUGUUGUUAGGUUUAUAUAACUUUUUGAACACUAUUGGUAUUCAUUAUUCACAUUUAUUUGACAUAUUUUGAAGGAACCUUCUCCUAAAACGGUUUCCAAGAACAAAGAAAAAAUCCCACGUUGUCAAUUCAAUUUAAUAACCAAUAUACAUUGUCGUCUUUGGUAGCCUGUUAUCAAGGAAUUUCGCACUUAUGACCUGUUACUUUUGCUUUUUAUCUUUUAUGUUUAUUUUCUUUAGGAUGAGAAUAAAGCCAUAUCUUUUUUUAUCAAAGAGAAUAAAGCCAUAUCAUGAGUUGAAAUUACUAACAAAAUUAAUUGAAAUCAGGUCUUGAAUAUUUAUAUGAGUAUUGUAUGGUUUUACUUUUUCCUUCAUUUUAAUUGCUAUACUUUCUAGUAUAUAUAUGUGUAUGUACAUUCUCAGAAUAAUGUUAUCAUAUUUAAAACUAAAAACUAAAAAUUUAAGAGUAAAUUAGCUAAAUAUACUAACAAAGGUGGGAUAUCAUUGAAUGGGGGGAAAAUGGUAAUGUUGGGGGGAAGAAAAUUGGAGGGAUAUAGGGUAUGGAGUGCAAAUAGGGAAAAAGUGGUGUGUAGGGAGUACAAAUUCUCAAAAUUUAAUAUAUUAGGUUUUUGGUGUUUUCAAUAAAUUAAUAGGAAAUGAUACGGAUUUGAUAAGAUAGACUUUAGUAACAUUUUCUGAUGAGUUUAGUGUACUUUUAGAAAGAUCACUAGUGCCUUAUAAUAAAUCAAAUCAUCUUGCAAAAGAUAACAACAAAGGAUCCACAAACACUCCUUCAAUGAUUUGGUUAAAGUUGUCUACCUUUUGACUUUAAAAUUUAAUCUACCUAACUUGAAGGUUUUAAUUUUGUACCUCGCGUUGUAAAACGUAUAAUUAUUUAUUUUACUGUUUUUCACUUAUAGAUUUUUUUUAUAUCAAAAAGUUAAUCUAUUACUCAAUUUGAAGUGGUCUAAGCAACCAGACCAGAAUAAAACAACCAACAAUACAUAAAUCUCUAUAGAAAAUACAGUUCUAGCUAAAUAAUCAGAAAAUCUAUAUAAGUUUUCCACUUACAGAUUAGAAUAUCAUGACUAGAGAAACCCAUAUUCUUGAUAUAUAUCAUGACUAGAGUUUGUAAAAUACAAUUAGUAUUACGUAAAUUACUGAACCAUUUUUAACAGUAUUUAAUGAUCAUAUAAAAUUUUGUAACUAAAGAGGUUUAGUUAACAGUGAAACGCUCAACUUAUAUAUCUAAGAAAAUGUCAUUUAUUAACUAACGGAAUGCUUUACAACGCAAGAAACAAUCAAGUAGCUGCGAACAAAAAUCCGUCUACUAAACAUUGAUGAUAAGUGUCUUUGGGGAAACUUAAACAACAAG